rnacentral:rRNA from 1 species
AACGAACGCUGGCGGCAGGCUUAUCACAUGCAAGUCGAACGCCCCGCAAGGGGAGUGGCAGACGGGUGAGUAACGCGUGGGAACAUACCCUUUUCUACGGAAUAGCUCUGGGAAACUGGAAUUAAUACCGUAUACGCCCUACGGGGGAAAGAUUUAUCGGGGAAGGAUUGGCCCGCGUUGGAUUAGCUAGUUGGUGGGGUAAAGGCCUACCAAGGCGACGAUCCAUAGCUGGUCUGAGAGGAUGAUCAGCCACAUUGGGACUGAGACACGGCCCAAACUCCUACGGGAGGCAGCAGUGGGGAAUAUUGGACAAUGGGCGCAAGCCUGAUCCAGCCAUGCCGCGUGAGUGAUGAAGGCCUUAGGGUUGUAAAGCUCUUUCACCGAUGAAGAUAAUGACGGUAGUCGGAGAAGAAGCCCCGGCUAACUUCGUGCCAGCAGCCGCCGCCG